rnacentral:rRNA from 1 species
CUCAGCGACUCUAUCGCAGGGGGCCCACCUCUUCCCAUUCCGAACAAGUAGUUAAGACCUGCUGGGCUACAGUGGUACCACGUGCGUAGGUGCAUAGGAGAGUAAUCGUUGCCGGGU